AUCCUAGAGGGAGAGAGGAACCGUAGUGCGAUCCCCGCUUCAAUCCUGGGGUGCCUCCUCACCCCGAUUUAGUAGUCCGAAGGAGUAGGAGGAGUUCCCUGCAACCCGCAGGGUCAAGAAGUAAGUGCUGUGCGUCCGGAGCCGCUCGAAGUCGGAGGGCCUCACCCUAGAGGGCCUCACUCGAAUGCCCCCUGCCUAUCCCCACGCCCGGAAGCCCUGGAGCGCCUGAGCCACCUCCGGGGAACCAGCCAACUGAGGUCCCACUUCCUCCGUUGGGUAACGUUCUCUGCGGGAGCUCGGCGGUUAACCGCGCAGCCGCGCCCGCUACGCUGGCCUCGGCACCCUGAGCCUGCCGGAGGGAGAGACAGACAGUCGGGCCGCGAGGAAGGUCCACUCUGUAGCCCGCCCCCGCAUGUAGGCGCUGUCCUGCACCUCCCGAGCUCGAGGCCCAAAGAAAUGAGGGCUGCGUAGACCUGGCCGCGCACUUCUCUCAUCCACGUUCCCACUCCACAUCAGCGCUGAGACCUGUGGCACAGAGGAGCUGGUCUGAAUCACCGUUUGGCAGAGAUGGAAGUUCAACUCCCCGUCUACAGAGAAGUAAACUGAGGCCCAGGCAGCGGAGGAAAGGCAGCUGUGGAGCUCAGUGGUUAAGAGCAAGGAACUGGUGGUCGGAGAACGGAACCUCAGGUCCACCAGGAUCUGUUUUAGAUAGUUUAGUGAACUCUCUCCAGCCUGGACUGCUGACCUGUGACCUCCCAUUAUUCAAACCAAGGCUGACACAUGUGGGCAUCUGGAGCUUUAUUCCCUCACUUCUCAGCCUCACCUCCUAAAAUAAAGAUGCUCCAUCAGGUUCUGACAAUGUGCCAGAUGGUCAAAACUCCAUUAGCCUGAGUCCCUGAGAAGAAAGGGUGGAAGAGAAGCUUCCCAUGCCUGGUAUAUAAAUAUGGCCUUGAAAAUGUCCACAGACGUGUUGUUGUCUUGUUGAGUCUGCAGCCAGGAAGGCAGAAAUCUCUGCAGCAAAGCAGCUCUCAGCUUAAAUGUCAUAUCUUCAGCGGAGUCCUUCCUCGACUACCUCACAUAAUAGCUUCAUUGCAAGACACUUUGCAGAAUAUUUCACAUACAUAUACAACCUAGAAGUAAGGUAAUGGCUCCUGGAAGGAACUUGGAAUGCUACCCCUUUCUUCAUCUGAAGGACUGUCUUGGAAUGUGUUUAAUAUGGCUCUUCAGGCAGCUGGAUGGAUCGAACAGUGCUGUUCCCAAUAACCCCCUGGAGGAAAACCUAAAUUUCAGAGUCUAUUCUUCAAAAAUCCAGCCUAAGCUGCCAAAAGGUUUUUUUUUUUUUUUUGCAACAUUUUAAAAAAGCAUUACCAAACAAUGAAAUACAUGCUAUUUUCAUCAUGCAAUAAAUAAUAAAACCUCUGUA